rnacentral:snRNA from 1 species
UGAAAUAAAUAUUCUCAGUACUAAAAUUGGAACGAUACAGAGAAGAUUAGCAUGGCCCCUGCGCAAGGAUGACAAGGUGCAGAGGAGAAGAUGCUAAACAGAUC